UCGCAGCCCGGCUUGAGUGGAGCUCUUUUUGCAAAUUUGGUAUGGGAAAAAGCGUUGGCAAAUUUGCAAAAAAGCGGGAACGGAAGACGGAUUAAGC
rnacentral:misc_RNA from 1 species